rnacentral:rRNA from 1 species
CUACGGGAUGCUCCAGUGAGGAAUAUUGUACAAUGGAGGAAACUCUGAUGCAGCAACGCCGCGUGGAGGAUGACGCAUUUCGGUGUGUAAACUCCUUUUAUAUGUCAAGAAAAUGACGGUAGCAUAUGAAUAAGCACCGGCUAACUCCGUGCCAGCAGCCGCGGUAAUACGGAGGGUGCAAGCGUUACUCGGAAUCACUGGGCGUAAAGGACGCGUAGGCGGGAUAUCAAGUCAGGUGUGAAAUCCUACAGCUUAACUGUAGAACUGCACUUGAAACUGGUAACCUAGAGUAUGGGAGGGGGAGAUGGAAUUAGUGGUGUAGGGGUAAAAUCCGUAGAUAUCACUAGGAAUACCUAAAGCGAAGGCGAUCUCCUGGAACAUAACUGACGCUAAGGCGUGAAAGCGUGGGGAGCAAACAGGAUUAGAUACCCUUGUAGUC